rnacentral:misc_RNA from 1 species
UCUCCGUUGGUGAACCAGCGGAGGGAUCAUUACCGAAAGAGUCCCCGACUCGACACCCAUGUGAACCAAAUCAGUCGUUGCUUCGGCGGGCGGCCCCCCUGUAACGGGGGGGUCUGGCCGCCCCGCCAACCUUGCGGGCGCUCGCCGGAAGACCACAAGCCCUAUUUUUACAGCGUACCCUCUGAGUGAAGCUUCCAAACAGUCAAAACUUUCAACAACGGAUCUCUUGGCUCUGGCAUCGAUGAAGAACGCAGC